GUGCGAGACCGAUAGCGAACAAGUACCGUGAGGGAAAGAUGAAAAGAACUUUGAAAAGAGAGUUAAAGAGUACCUGAAACUGCUGAAAGGGAAGCGAAUCGUAUCCAGUGUCUAUAAUCUGCGGCAUAUUUCAUUGGCGGCGGUGUGCGUGCUAUUGCGUCGGAAGCGGCUUUUGUUGCUCUGUGCUUUGGUGUUGCUUGUUGCUGCUGGUGCCCUGUGUUGCGGUGGGACGUCAGAGUCAGUUCGUAUGCUGCGGGAAAUGGCUGCCGAGGAGGUAGGUCGGGAUUUCGGUCCUGGCUGUUAUAUCUUGGUAGUUUGUUGUCGUGGUUGAGACUGAGGUGCCUACAAUGUGCUUUUGAGUGUGCCGGGUUCUCAUUUGGUGGACUGUUUGGAUAGCUUGCUAUGCUUGUGGUUUUUUCAUCGGGUGAUUGAGUCUGGUGGUAACUUGUUGCUGUUCGGGACUUUGA
rnacentral:rRNA from 2 species